UACAGAGGUGCCAAGCGUUAGGCGGAAUCACUGGGCUUAAAGCGCGUGUAGGUGGACGGGUAAGUAUCUUGUGAAAUCCCACGGCUCAACCGUGGAACUGCUGGAUAUACUGCUUGUCUUGAGGCACUUAGGGGCAGCUGGAACAAAUGGUGGGGCGGUGAAAUGCGUAGAUAUCAUUUGGAACGCCAAAGGCGAAAGCAGGCUGCUGGGAGUGAUCUGACACUGAGACGCGAAAGCCAGGGGAGCAAACGGG
rnacentral:rRNA from 1 species